rnacentral:misc_RNA from 1 species
AAGUCGUAACAAGGUUUCCGUAGGUGAACCUGCGGAAGGAUCAUUACUGAGUUAGGGUCUCAUCUCGAGCCCGAACCUCCAACCCUUUGUUUAAACUACUUUGUUGCUUUGGCAGGCCCGCCCUUUCGGGGCCGCUGGGGGCGUUUAGUCGCCUCUGGUCAGUGCUUGCCAGUAGCCAAUUUAAAUUCUUUUAACUAUGUCGUCUGAAUAAUAAUUAUAAUUAAUUAAA